UAUUUAUGUGUGUGUGUGUGUGUAUGUGUAUAUAUAUAUAUAUAUAUUUAUACAUAUAUAUUGAUAUGUGUAAUUAAUAGUUUGCUGUCACUAAAAUGUCUUUCAGUUUAUCGACAUAGAUUAUAUAUCAACUGUAUAACGACUAAGAAAAAUGCAACAAAACUAGCAUGUUCAUGUCUUUGGAAUUGUCUAGUUGUUGUUACAAUGUUAAAUGAACUAGAAACAAAAACAAUAAAAUAAAUGUAUAACCAUAUUCCA